rnacentral:rRNA from 1 species
GAUGAACGCUGGCGGCGUGCCUAAUACAUGCAAGUCGAGCGAACGGGCGAGAAGCUUGCUUUUCUGAUGUUAGCGGCGGACGGGUGAGUAACACGUGGAUAACCUACCUAUAAGACUGGGAUAACUUCGGGAAACCGGAGCUAAUACCGGAUAAUAUUUUGAACCGCAUGGUUCAAAAGUGAAAGACGGUCUUGCUGUCACUUAUAGAUGGAUCCGCGCUGCAUUAGCUAGUUGGUAAGGUAACGGCUUACCAAGGCAACGAUGCAUAGCCGACCUGAGAGGGUGAUCGGCCACACUUGAACUGAGACACGGUCCAGACUCCGACGGGAGGCAGCAGUAGGGAAUCUUCCGCAAUGGGCGAAAGCCUGACGGAGCAACGCCGCGUGAGUGAUGAAGGUCUUCGGAUCGUAAAACUCUGUUAUUAGGGAAGAACAUAUGUGUAAGUAACUGUGCACAUCUUGACGGUACCUAAUCAGAAAGCCACGGCUAACUACGUG